rnacentral:rRNA from 1 species
AACGAACGCUGGCGGCAGGCUUAACACAUGCAAGUCGAACGCCCGUAGCAAUACGGGAGUGGCGGACGGGUGAGUAACGCGUGGGAACGUGCCCUGAGGUACGGAAUAACUGCGGGAAACUGCAGCUAAUACCGUAUGAGCCCCUUACGGGGGAAGGAUUUAUCGCCUUAGGAGCGGCCCGCGUCGGAUUAGCUAGUUGGUGGGGUAACGGCUUACCAAGGCUUCGAUCCGUAGCUGGUCUGAGAGGACGAUCAGCCACACUGGGACUGAGACACGGCCCAGCCUCCUACGGGAGGCAGCAGUGGGGAAUCUUGCGCAAUGGGGGCAACCCUGACGCAGCCAUGCCGCGUGAAUGAUGAAGGCCUUAGGGUUGUAAAGUUCUUUUGCCCGUGACGAUGAUGACGGUAACGGGAGAAUAAGCUCCGGCUAACUUCGUGCCAGCAGCCGCCGUAAUAC